CUAAUGCCGCAUAAGCCCACGGGUCGGCAUCGACCAGAGGGAAAAGGAGCAAUCCGCUUUGAGAUGGCCUCGCGUCCGAUUAGCUAGUUGGUGAGGUAACGGCCCACCAAGGCGACGAUCGGUAGCCGGACUGAGAGGUUGAACGGCCACAUUGGGACUGAGACACGGCCCAGACUCCUACGGGAGGCAGCAGUGGGGAAUAUUGCACAAUGGGGGAAACCCUGAUGCAGCGACGCCGCGUGGAGGAAGAAGGUCUUCGGAUUGUAAACUCCUGUUGUUGAGGAAGAUAAUGACGGUACUCAACAAGGAAGUGACGGCUAACUACGUGCCAGCAGCCGCGGUAAAACGUAGGUCACAAGCGUUGUCCGGAAUUACUGGGUGUAAAGGGAGCGCAGGCGGGAAGACAAGUUGGAAGUGAAAUCCAUGGGCUCAACCCAUGAACUGCUUUCAAAACUGUUUUUCUUGAGUAGUGCAGAGGUAGGCGGAAUUCCCGGUGUAGCGGUGGAAUGCGUAGAUAUCGGGAGGAACACCAGUGGCGAAGGCGGCCUACUGGGCACCAACUGACGCUGAGGCUCGAAAGUGUGGGUAGCAAACAGGAUUAGAUACCCUGGUAGUCCACACCGUAAAC
rnacentral:rRNA from 1 species